GAGAGACGCGGUUCUGAAGAUCGCAAAUGGUCAGUGAAGUUGAGAAGACAUCCUUUCCUUUCCCAACACCCUACAGCGGUCCAAAAUCGUUUAGCCAUACUGUCAUCCUCCCUCUGUUUAACAUCUUGGAAUUUUGAAGGGUGUCUUCGGAAGCCCCUUCGUUGACGACUCAAGACUCCCUCUGCCUCCAGUCUUCCCGUGAACUCCCACUCACGCACCCAUCUGUUCCCAACUCAAAAGUUAAGCAAAUGGUGUUUUGCUUUCCUUCAACACCCAAGAAACUGGCGAUGACCGUGGGAUGUUUCGUCUCCGGUGCUGCUCUUUUUCUUGUAGGUUUGCAUCUCUCUUAUGUCAACGUCGCUCCUCAACAAGCUCGAAUUCAGGCUCGCAAUGAUUUCGUGAGAGAGAGAUUAAGAAAGAAGUACGGUAAAUGAAGAGUCUGCUCUUAAUGGCUCUGGGCUUAUAUACCCUCGAUAAGUUAUUAUUCUCCAUCCCUGCCCUUCGUGUACUGAGGCAAAUGCCGUUAGGGUACCGAGGUUGUAAUGGUUGUAGAAGCAAGGCAAUGAAUUUGGCUCUCACUGGAUUGCAAGCUUAGAUUCCAAAACUCAUUGGAUUAUGGUGUAUUCUCCAUCUUAAUGCACGUCAUAGAAGAUUGGAAUGCUAAACUUAACACGAAUUGAGUAUUAUUUCAUCGAUUUCAAAGCUCGAAUAAAAUAUCCAGUUUCAAGUACUCAAA